rnacentral:rRNA from 1 species
UACGGGGGGGGGCAAGCGUUGUUCGGAAUUACUGGGCGUAAAGCGCACGUAGGCGGCUUUCUAAGUCAGGGGUGAAAUCCUGGAGCUCAACUCCAGAACUGCCUUCGAUACUGGAAAGCUCGAGUCCGGGAGAGGUGAGUGGAACUGCGAGUGUAGAGGUGAAAUUCGUAGAUAUUCGCAAGAACACCAGUGGCGAAGGCGGCUCACUGGCCCGGUACUGACGCUGAGGUGCGAAAGCGUGGGGAGCAAACAGG